rnacentral:rRNA from 1 species
GUUUCGAGGAGUUUUAAAAGCCUUCGGAUUUGCGAGGAUUGGGCUCCAUUGGUGUACUUUCUCGUACGGUUAGUCAACAUCGGUUUUGAAUGUCAUAAAAUGACUGGAGGAAUGUGGCUUCGAUCUCGUAUCGAAGUGUUAUAACCUUUGGUAGAUGUGAUGUUCGAGACCGAGGAUUGCAACGGAUACCCUUCUGGGCUAUUCGUCUGAUCUCUGAUACGUUGCCUUGAUGUCGAAAGCUCGCUUAUGAUGUUAGGGUAUUACGGUCAAAAGGUUAGAACGGAUUAAA